CUUCAUCUGAGUCUUCUCGAGGACAAGCUGAUCAACAAUCUUCUCCCAAGCGACAGAAGGUUGAGGCAUACUAGAGGAAGAUGAAACCUAUGGAUCUCUCUCUCUCUCUCUCUCUCUCUCUCUCUGUCACUCGAUCUUCAAGUAGCUCAAUAAGUGUAUCUUUGUCCUUAGACUCAAGCUGCAACUCCCCAUGUUUUCUACUCAAAGCAUGGAAAC
rnacentral:lncRNA from 1 species